GGUCAGAUGGCUGAGCUGGUCUAAGGCGCCGCACUCAAGUUGCGGCCUCUCACAAGGCGUGGGUGCAAAUCACAGUAUGACCA